CGAGAGACCUUCGGGUCUCUAGUGGCGAACGGGUGAGUAACACGUAGGGAACCUGCCCGCGCACCGGGAAUACGCUCUGGAAACGGAGAACAAAUCCCGAUGUACAGGAAGGAGGCAUCUUCUUUCUGUGAAACAUCCUCCAGGGGAUGGGGCGCGGAUGGACCUGCGGUGCAUUAGUUUGUUGGCGGGGUAAAGGCCCACCAAGACGAUGAUGCAUAGCCGGCCUGAGAGGGCGGACGGCCACAUUGGGACUGAGACACGGCCCAGACUCCUGCGGGAGGCAGCAGUAGGGAAUUUUCGUCAAUGGGCGCAAGCCUGAACGAGCGAUGCCGCGUGAGUGAAGAAGGCCUUCGGGUCGUAAAGCUCUGUUGCGGGGGAAAAAAGGCAGCAUCAGGAAAUGGGUGCUGACUGAUGGUGCCCCGCCAGAAAGUCACGGCUAACUACGUGCCAGCAGCCGCGGUAAUACGUAGGUGGCGAGCGUUAUCCGGAAUGAUUGGGCGUAAAGGGUGCGCAGGCGGUCCUGCAAGUCUGGAGUGAAACGCAUGAGCUCAACUCAUGCAUGGCUUUGGAAACUGGAGGACUGGAGAGCAGGAGAGGGCGGUGGAACUCCAUGUGUAGCGGUAAAAUGCGUAGAUAUAUGGAAGAACACCAGUGGCGAAGGCGGCCGCCUGGCCAGUUGCUGACGCUGAGGCACGAAAGCGUGGGGAGCAAAUAGGAUUAGAUACCCUAGUAGUCCACGCCGUAAACGAUGAGGACCAAGUGUUGGGGGU
rnacentral:rRNA from 1 species